rnacentral:rRNA from 1 species
AUUGAACGCUGGCGGCAGGCCUAACACAUGCAAGUCGAACGGUAGCACAGAGAGCUUGCUCUCGGGUGACGAGUGGCGGACGGGUGAGUAAUGUCUGAGAAACUGCCCAAUGGAGGGGGAUAACUACUGGAAACGGUAGCUAAUACCGCAUAACGUCGCAAGACCAAAGUGGGGGACCUUCGGGCCUCACACCAUCGGAUGUGCCCAGAUGGGAUUAGCUAGUAGGUGGGGUAAUGGCUCACCUAGGCGACGAUCCCUAGCUGGUCUGAGAGGAUGACCAGCCACACUGGAACUGAGACACGGUCCAGACUCCUACGGGAGGCAGCAGUGGGGAAUAUUGCACAAUGGGCGCAAGCCUGAUGCAGCCAUGCCGCGUGUAUGAAGAAGGCCUUCGGGUUGUAAAGUACUUUCAGCGGGGAGGAAGGCGGUGAAGUUAAUAACUUCACCGAUUGACGUUACCCGCAGAAGAAGCACCGGCUAACUCCGUGCCAGCAGCCGCAGUAA